UUGAACGCUGGCGGCAGGCCUAACACAUGCAAGUCGAACGGUAACAGGAAGAAGCUUGCUUCUUUGCUGACGAGUGGCGGACGGGUGAGUAAUGUCUGGGAAACUGCCUGAUGGAGGGGGAUAACUACUGGAAACGGUAGCUAAUACCGCAUAACGUCGCAAGACCAAAAAGGGGGACCUUCGGGCCUCUUGCCAUCGUAUGUGCCCAGAUGGGAUUAGCUAGUAGGUGGGGUAACGGCUCACCUAGGCGACGAUCCCUAGCUGGUCUGAGAGGAUGACCAGCCACACUGGAACUGAGACACGGUCCAGACUCCUACGGGAGGCAGCAGUGGGGAAUAUUGCACAAUGGGCGCAAGCCUGAUGCAGCCAUGCCGCGUGUAUGAAGAAGGCCUUCGGGUUGUAAAGUACUUUCAGCGGGGAGGAAGGGAGUAAAGUUAAUACCUUUGCUCAUUGACGUUACCCGCAGAAGAAGCACCGGCUAACUCCGUG
rnacentral:rRNA from 1 species